rnacentral:rRNA from 1 species
UGGGGAAUUUUGGACAAUGGGCGAAAGCCUGAUCCAGCAAUGCCGCGUGUGUGAAGAAGGCCUUCGGGUUGUAAAGCACUUUUGUCCGGAAAGAAAUCCUUGGCUCUAAUACAGUCGGGGGAUGACGGUACCGGAAGAAUAAGCACCGGCUAACUACGUGCCAGCAGCCGCGGUAAUACGUAGGGUGCAAGCGUUAAUCGGAAUUACUGGGCGUAAAGCGUGCGCAGGCGGUUUGCUAAGACCGAUGUGAAAUCCCGGGCUCAACCUGGGAACUGCAUUGGUGACUGGCAGGCUAGAGUAUGGCAGAGGGGGGUAGAAUUCCACGUGUAGCAGUGAAAUGCGUAGAGAUGUGGAGGAAUACCGAUGGCGAAGGCAGCCCCCUGGGCAAUACUGACGCUCAUGCACGAAAGCGUGGGGAGCAAACAGGAUUAGAUACCCUGGUAGUCCACGCCCUAAACGAUGUCAACUAGUUGUUGGGGACUUCAUUUCCUUGUAACGUAGCUAACGCGUGAAGUUGACCNCCUGGGGAGUACGGUCGCAAGAUUAAAACUCAAUGAAUUGACGGGGUC